GGUAGCUUAGUGGUAGAGUGCUUGCCUUGCAUGCAUGAAGCCCUGGGUUCGAUUCCUCAGUACCA
rnacentral:tRNA from 1 species